ACUAGAAUAGCUUAAAUAGUAAAGCUUAAUAUUGAAGAUAUUAAUAUAAGUAUUAUACUUUUCUAGUA
rnacentral:tRNA from 1 species